UGGGGAAUAUUGCACAAUGGGCGAAAGCCUGAUGCAGCAACGCCGCGUGAGCGAUGAAGGCCUUCGGGUCGUAAAGCUCUGUCCUCAAGGAAGAUAAUGACGGUACUUGAGGAGGAAGCCCCGGCUAACUACGUGCCAGCAGCCGUGGUAAUCGCUCACU
rnacentral:rRNA from 1 species